rnacentral:rRNA from 1 species
UACGGGGGGGGCAAGCGUUGUUCGGAAUUACUGGGCGUAAAGGGCUCGUAGGCGGCCAACUAAGUCGGAUGUGAAAUCCCCAGGCUUAACCUGGGAACUGCAUCCGAUACUGGAUGGCUUGAAUCCGGGAGAGGGAUGCGGAAUUCCAGGUGUAGCGGUGAAGUGCGUAGAUAUCUGGAGGAACACCGGUGGCGAAGGCGGCAUCCUGGACCAACACUGACACUGAGGAGCGAAAGCCAGGGAGCAAACGGG